UACAGAGGGUGCAAGCGUUAAUCGGAUUUACUGGGCGUAAAGCGUGUGUAGGUGGCUACCUAAGUCGAUUGUGAAAUCCCUGGGCUCAACCUGGGAAUUGCAGUCGAUACUGGGCAGCUCGAGUUUGGGAGAGGGAUGCGGAAUUCCAGGUGUAGCGGUGAAAUGCGUAGAUAUCUGGAGGAACACCGGUGGCGAAGGCGGCAUCCUGGACCAACACUGACGCUGAGUGAGCGAAAGCCAGGGGAGCAAACGGG
rnacentral:rRNA from 1 species